rnacentral:lncRNA from 1 species
GUGUGUCUAGGCAACACAAGGGAAUGUGAAAGACUGUCAGAGGGAAUGUUUUUGAAUACAUUUGGUGUGUACUAAAAAGCUGGAAAACCCCUAAGUAAAUGCAGUAUCGAUAGAAAGCGAGUUUCUUGAAGAGUCACCUGCUAAACUCUACUAGAGUCAUCUCUACAGGUGUGGUUAAGAGAGAAAAAAGUUGCCAUUAAGGAAUAAGCAAAUCAGUUUUCUGACGUGAGGAUAUAGCACCUAUCUCUGAGAUCAAAGUCAUCCGACCGAAACUGAUGCCUCUGAGACUGGAACAGAAGAGUGAAUAAUGAAAUAUAAGAAUGGGGAUUCUGCACUAACUCUAUGGGGAAGAAAACAAUGGUCUCAUAUAUUAUUUUCAUUAGCAACUUCAGACGCAGGCAAGAAGGGGUGCUGCUUUGGACUGCAUAUUUUGUCAAACUCAAUUCGAUCCUUCCCCAGCCUAACCCCAGUUUUCAAGUUUCUAAUCCAGCUGUAGUGAAGACAGACAACAGUCAAGUUAACAACUGCACUGUGGAAGCUGAAGCUUGUGAAUUACUGCAGGGACGGUCAACAAGAAGCUACACCAUAUUGCCCAUAUUCAUGACUGAUCAGCAGGAGAAGUUCAUACCACUUGAGCUGGAUCUAUCUGCACAUGCACCUGGCCCAGGAAGCUGUAAUGGGAGAUCUGAUGAGCAGUGGAGAACUGAACCAAAGCCCUUGGCUUUUGCUCCAUACCAGUCAGAAUCUCAUCAUGAUAUCGUGUUGCAUUGA